UACAGAGGUCUCAAGCGUUGUUCGGAUUCAUUGGGCGUAAAGGGUGCGUAGGUGGCGCGCUAAGUCAGGUGUGAAAUUUCGGAGCUUAACUCCGAAACUGCAUUCGAUACUGCCGUGCUUGAGGACUGGAGAGGAGACUGGAAUUUACGGUGUAGCGGUGAAAUGCGUAGAUAUCGUAAGGUAGAUCAGUGGCGAAGGCGGGUCUCUGGACAGUUCCUGACGCUGAGGCACGAAGGUCAGGGGAGCAAACGGG
rnacentral:rRNA from 1 species